GGGUGUGUAGCUCAAUUGGUAGAGCAACGGCGUGGUCGUGCCAGCCCGGCGCUGGCGACGCGCUGCCUGCCCGGCGCAGGUGGCAACGCUGUCGGUUGCACGUUCGAGUCGUGCCGCACCCGC
rnacentral:tRNA from 1 species